AUUGAACGCUGGCGGCAGGCCUAACACAUGCAAGUCGAACGAGUGGCGGACGGGUGAGUAAUGUCUGGGAAACUGCCCGAUGGAGGGGGAUAACUAAUGGAAACGGUAGCUAAUACAGCAUACGAUCGGAGGUGCCCAGGUGGGAUUAGCUAUUAGGUGGUGUAACGGCUCAGCUAGGCGACGAUCACUAGCUGGUCUGAGAUGAUGACCCGCCACUCUGGAACGACGACACGGUCCAGACUCCUACGUGAGGCAGCAGUGGGGAAUAUUGCACAAUGGGCGCAAGCCUGCUGCAGCCAUGCCGUGUGUAUGAAGAGGGCCUUCGGGUUGUAAAGUACUUUCAGCGAGGAGGCGGUACUCGCAGAAGAAGCAUCGGCUAACUCCGUGCCAGCAGCCGCGGUAAUAC
rnacentral:rRNA from 1 species